CAUUAUCGAAUUAUGUUUUCUAGAUGGGUUGU
rnacentral:rRNA from 1 species